AUUAUGCCAUAAAAUUACAAAAGUUACAACUUACAAGUUACAACAAUGGUUAAAACUUUAAAAUAGGGAGACCUACUGAACCAAAAUACAGUUCUAUCAAUAUCAUGGGACAGUAAAAGUAAAUAAUUUGAGCAACUAGCCAAAGUAAGGUGGCUCUUCUCAGGAUCUUACAUUCUGAAAUCCAAAACGCAAACUGUAUUAUUAGAAAAACAGGCAGCGAUCUUGUCACCCUCCUUGUUCCAACAGACCUCAAAAAUACCUCCAUUGCCAUUGUAUGUUUUAAUGAUCUUACCAUCAUUCAAGGACCAUAUAUUUAUGGAUUUGUCAGGGGACCCACUGGCUAAAUACUCACCAUUGGGACUAAAUGCAACAGAAUAUACACCAUCCCUGUGGAACCAAAAAAACAAGUCAAAACCAAAAGAAUUGACUACAUUCAAAGAAAACAACCUACUACCAGCCUGAAAUGUUGUCAAGAAAACAACCAGCAACCAGAUAAACUAGAAUAGAAGUUUAGCAUUUUGAACAUGAAAUGAAAGUUAGGACUUCUAGUUUAGUUGACCGCUUAAUAACAAGCAGGAUGAUGGGAGGAGGAAUUCUUAAUUUAUUUUUCCGUCCAUAUAUUCUAGCCACUGAUAUAACAUACUAAAAAGCUGAAAAAGACGGUACCUGUGUCCACUCAAGCUAUAAAUUAGUUUCCCGAGUUCCGCAUCCCAUAGCUUUACGGUAGAGUCAAAUGAUGCACUGUACAAAAGGAAUGACUAAACAGUGUUAAAAGGAAACAAUUAUCUGUCUAGUAUUAAGAGAAAGAUAAAAACACUUAACUGCACUAAAUAUUGUUUUAUUCAAAAACUAAGUAAAUAUGAUCCAGAAGUCAUUUUCUUUUUUACCUAAAACUCUUCAAAUUCUUAUUUUUAUAAUAAAAAAAAUAAAAAAUAAAAAAAAAUAGAAGUUUAUGAUAAAAUCAAGAUAUAAAACAAUUUUAAGAACAAGAGAUAAGAAAUUCAGUGAAAAUUUGAAGGAUUUUGUGGAAUGUGAAGAGCAGGGAAAUUUGAGUGUUUGAGUAGAAUUUGAUGUUUUGAAAGGUGAGUAGUAGAACAAGAUUUAAAACAAAUUAGUGGAUGCAACUUAUGAAAUUUUGAAUAUAUUAUGAGAAUUUGAGAGACUAAAUCAGCUCAAAGUAUUAGUUUUUUUCACAAGAGCACAAAAAAUUAUUAGAAAAACCAAUAUCACACAUUACCUAGUAGAGGAAUUUAAAGUGCAAUUAACCUAAAAUAAAAAAAAAUAAAAAACAAGCAUAAAUGUAGGUGCAGGCGCAGCACGGUCACCAUAAUCAAACUAAACAAUUUUACAUGAAAAACUACACGGCAUCAAUUUAAUAGAAACUCUGCCGCACUGAAUAUACAGCAUGUAAUUGAUUGUUGGACUAUCCCAUCUGACCCUGACAACCGGUGUUGGUAAUGCUAUUGUAUUUAUACUUGUUGGACUAUGGGAAAUAAUUGACAGCUUAAAAACAUUUAGGGGGAGAGGGACGAAUAUAAAUGUUCAUAAUUUCUUCUAUGGGGUGGCCUGCCUCCGUCCACUCUGAUUCCCAGUACCCACAAAUUCUAACUUUACAGUGAAAGCGAAUGUUGAACAUGGAAAGAGUUUCUCAAAUGUGCAGAAACACAAACAACUUGCUGAAUUAUAUGCUUAAGAGUAUAAGUUCUAAUUUGAAGCGUGCUUAUUGAACGGGCAUUUAGUUAAACUGUUUGUCCAAAUACUCCUUUAGAGCACUAUACUUUAAUUUAAACGAAUGCACUGAUUAUUUAGUAACCUAAGGUUCAGGAGACGAGGAAUACAGAUUAUAGGGUGAAAUAAUUCUGUAAGAUAUCAUUAAUAAAUAAACCCAUGCAAGUAAAUGAAGAGCAUUGAAAAUAAGAAGCUAUCAUACCUAGCCAACACCAAUUUCUUGUUAGGGUUAUUUGUACCAGGACCAGUUGGGCUCCAUCUGAUAGUAUAUACCUCCUACGAGAAAAACCAUUAUUUAGUUUUCCCAACAAGCUGCAUAGUUUAAAAGCAGGUACAAAUGCAAAAUUUGUAACUGAAAAAUAUUCCCUAAUUGGUACCUUGGAAUGCUCCCUAAAAUCAUGAAUAUACUUAUCUUGCUUCAUACUCCAUAUCUACAAAACGAGAAACAAUAUACAUGCAGAAUACAGGAACAGUUAAAUUCACAAAUAAUCUGGUAGAAAGACAUUUACUGGAAAAAAAGUCUUCUAUAAAAUAAUUUUUUGAUGGCAAACUAUUGAAAAAACAUGCUAUUAUGAAGUAUAACCUUUGCAGUGUUAUCGUCUGAACACGAGGCCAGUAAUGAACCUGUGGGAUCCCAUUUGAUACAAUUAACUUCACUCUGAAAUAGCAUAAAGGUUGUUAUCAGACAGUUAAGACAUAUAGAAGUACUACAUUGCAUUUAAAUGAAAUAUCUUAAUGUAAUGCAGAACCAAUAAGCUAGUUUACUGGAAUUCAGUAAACCAAAGCAUGUAAUAAAUGCUAACUUUGCUACCCCAAUUAAGUCCCGCACUGCAGGUGAAUUUGGAAAAAAGUCUACCCAAGUAGUCAGAUACAUUAGAAAUUUGGGAUUCAUAUAGAAAGCAUCAUCCCAAGGCUAUCCACCAAUUUGAGUAGUUAACUCAGCAACGCAUUUUUUUACUGUAUAAUCAAUGCAGUAGGGGAUAGUUUUUCCCAAUAAGCUAUAAGCACAGCAUCAGUGUUCCAGUGCAAAGCGUAUUCAAAACAAGGUAGGUGUAUAAACCUGGUGCCCUUCAAAAGUUUUUAUUGGGUGGUUAUCGCCAAUCUUGCAAACAUGUAUCAUGGUGUCAGUGGAGCUUGAUGCAAACGAUACAUUGUUACGCCAAUCAACGUCAAGUGUUGGACCUAAAAAAAAGCCCAAAUUUUAAAAAUAAAAAAAUAGAAGUUCAUAAACAUGUUUUUUCUCACCAAGAGUUCUCUUUUAGAGAGAAUAUUAUUGUAAAAAAAUUACCUUUAUGAAAAGCAAAUUGUUGUUUCCAUUUCUCUGCUUGAACAUCCCAUACAAUUGCAGUCUCAUCACAACUUCCAGUAAGAAUAUAAUCUCCUUUCUUAUUCCACUUCAAAGAAAGUAUGGCUCCCUUGUGUUUGCUUAAUGUACUCUUCAGUUCACCUGGUCAAAGCCCCGAAUACACGAUCAAAAUAAUGAUUUUGAUUGAAAAUUCAAAUACGCACAAAAUUGCCAAUUUAAAAAAUCAACAAUAUAUAAUCAAUGACUAUAUAUACCACAAACGCAACUAAGUCAGACACUAAGAUUUAUCAAACUAAAGGUAUCACUCAAUGAAGAAGGAAAGAUAGAAGAAAGGGCCUACCAUUAGUGGUCCAAAUUCGUGCAUAACCAUCAUAAGCACCGGUUGCAAGUAGUGUCCCCUCCCCCUGUACAACACACCCACCAAAGGUCAGGCUCUCCAUAAGAUAUAAGUAAUUACGAGUUACUAUUAAAUAUAUUUAAGUUUUAAAUGCACUUUCAGACCCCAAAAUUUCAAAAAAAAAAUGAAGUUUUGGUCUCCCUAUUUUAAAAAUCAAUUUUUGGGUCGCCUGUUUAACUUUUCUCUAGAUGUUGGUCCCUUGUCUCGUUUUUGGGUCAUUUUUUAUGAUGUGGUCUAUUCAUUUUUGGUGUGGCAACGCUUAUUAACCAUAUUUUUACUGACAUGGACAUUCACUGAGGCUUAAUAAGGGACGUCACGUCAUAAAUGAAUAGGCCACAUCAUAAAAAACGACCCAAAAAAGAGAUUGGGGACCAAAAUCCAGAAGAAAAAAAAGAUAAAUAUGGGACGAAAAAACUGAUUUUUAAAAUAGGGAGAUCAAAACUUCUUUUUUAUGAAAAUCGGGGGACCAAAAGCGCAUUUAAGCCUAUAUUUAAUUAAAUGAUGCAAAAUAUGAACCAUGAGCACAAGAGAAGAGGGAAAGAUGAGCCCAGUCAUUAUCUUACAGUCCCAAAUAACACCUAAGCAGACUAAUUGGCCCUUAACAUGUGUGUAGGAGUAGGAGUAAGAGUAGGAGAAAAGGAACCAUGGGCCUAGUAACAAAGGCCUGCUAGUGUAUGAGGGAAAAAAGUGGAAUCACAGAAAGGGGAGGAAGGUGGAAAAUUUAAUUAGCAAUGAGAGAGAAAAUCGCAACCAAACUGGGACAGUUGGCAUGGUUGGGAGGGAGAAUAUGGAAAAAUUUGGGGCAAGCUUGGGAGGGUCGACUGCACUGAUGUCAGUCUUAUUUUUCUUUUUCUGUUUCGUUUUCAGAGCAUUCUUGCUGAGCCGCAAGAAGCUUAGCUCACAUAAUAGUAUUCACAAUUUUACAUUUUGCAACUCCAAAUACAUAUCAAUGGAGAAAAUAUAUAUAUAUAUAUAUAUUACACACACACACCUAAAAUGUUUGAAUCAAAAGUUCAGGAAAAAGGUAUCAGUAAAAAAAUAGAUAAACCUGACAUAUUUUAUUGAUUUUAAUACACCAUCCUUCUAUUUUCAAAACCUACACAAUUAUCCUUAUACGUUUCUUUUUCUCGCAAAAUUAUUCUGCUCGAGAAAGCUCCAACAGGUGAGAAAAAGAUAGAAACGGAUGUGAAAAAUCAAAAAACUAGACGGGACUUUGAAGUCACUAUCAGUAAUCAUGGAUUCAAAUAAGAAUAUGCCAUCAAACUCACAUUCCAAUCAAGUGUAGUGACAUCUUUAUCUUUACUCUUUUCAUUGGUUGUACCCUUGAUGUGUUGCAACACCAACACAGUUGAAGGGUCGUUCUUGGAAUCUAAUUUACGUGUCCGUUCAGCUAUUGUCCAAAUACGAGCUGUUGAAUCCCCAGACCUAAAAGUUCAGAUGAGAACAAUAAAAGUAUUCUUUAAAACAUGUUUCAAAAUAAAAGAAAAUGAUCAAUGUCCUCUAUUAUUAUAUUUAUUUUCUAAAGAAGAUAUAGAUAACAAUAAUAAGGGCGUGUAGAAUCAGAAGAGCAUGCAGAAUCAGACGUUAUUAUCAGGAAGAUAAACUACCAUUUCCACGCAUCAGAUAUAUUUUACUACUAAUAAAAUGUAAGGCCUUUUUGAUCCUAUCAUAUUUUAUUUCUUUCAAUAGUUUUUAAGGAUAUGGAAAGUAACAGUUAAUUGAAAGAAGUUCUAAAAAGUUGAUAAAAUAAUAGACAAAAGUUGUUAGGAAAAAUAAUUUUAUUUUUGUUAUAAAUAAAAUAGGGGAAAACCACCUGCCCUCGUCUAUUCUAAGUUUCCAUUAGUUUUCCAAAUGACAUAAAAUUGUGUACUUCCAUUGAUGGUUUAAACUAAAAGCAAAACUUAAACUAAUUCUACACCUAUUUAAUGGUAGUGUUCCUAAAAUGCCUUUCAAAUUUAUUUAUCUUUAAAUAGAAAAUACCUUUCAAUGAAUUUAGAUUUGAUUUUCCAAUAACCUCUUUUAAUCAUACUAGCGUUUAGAUGGGCACGGAAUGCCCGUCUGUCAGCUCUUCUUAUUGCGCUAAUGAGUAUAAAUUACAAACAAUAGUUUUUAUAAAAUUUUGAUCAAGAUUAAUUUGAUUUUGAUUAAAAUUAUAGGUAUAGAUAAUAGAUAUUUUGCACUUUUAUAUUGUAACAAACUAUACUUAUCUGUUUCAAUGAUACCAACAAUAUAACAAAUAUCAUAAAUUCUUAUCUUUUUAAAUGACACCAACAAAAUAGCAUUCUUAUGGUCAAAUUUGCUCAAGGGUAUAAUUGGAAGGAUAUAUAGUCAGCCAAAAAACGUCUACUUUCUUUAUAUAUAGUAUAGAAGACGAAAGGUAAUUUAGAAAAUGCAAUAUAUUUUUUAGGCUUAAAUGCAAUUUUAGUCCCCCAAGUUUUCUAAUUGUGCAAUUUUGGUCCCCCUAGUUUUUUUUGAGCAAUUUUAGUCCCCCACAUUUACCCCCUUUUUGAUUUUAAAGUCCCCCACAUUUACCCCCUUUUUGAUUUUAAAGUCCCAAUACCCAUGUGUGGUUGGAUUUUUUUGAAGUUUACGAUGGUAAGAUAGACCUUUCACACCUGAUCACUUUUUCCCUUUUCAUCUCUUCCAUUCCCAUCUCAGCAAGAACCAUGGAUCCGAUGCUUUCUCAUUACCACCAAACUCAAACCUAGAAAUUAGAUUCUAAAUCAAAUUCUUUCACACAGCAUAAAUUAAUACUAAGAAAAAUCAACUAAUUUUGUCCAAUUCAAUGCAAUUAAGACUUGCCCAUAAUUUCUUAGGAACUGUUCAAACACAAGAAUAUUUUCCUCUCUAUACGUUUCCUCUUUCUCCAUGUGGUCUUCCCAUUCACUACAUUCAACUUCCUCUCUCUAUGUUUCAACGUGUUCCUCCUAAUGAAGAUGACUUUGAUUCUUCUGAACCAUUUUCCAUUGAAAUAAUGGCAUUCUGAUCACAUAUAAUCAAAUCCUUUGACUGUAUAUGUUGUUGGAUCAGGAUAACGUUGUUGUUGUUGUUGUUGUUGAAAUGUUUAUCGUUGUUGAGAUUGUUGUUUGGAGAGAAUGUGAGGGAGUUCGAGUGUGGUGGUGAGGAAGGGAGGGUAUGUGGGAGUUUGGAUGAGGUUUAUGGUGGAUGAUGGUGACAGGUUAAACAAUUGCAGCAAAGUAUCGAUGAAGGAAGACAGUGAAGGGGAUGGAAUGUGUGAUGGCGAUGGUUGUGAUGGGUGGUGGGGAUAGGAGUUGUUGAUUUGUGGUUGAUGUAUACGGCAGGGCUGUUGUCGGAAACAAAGAGGGGUUCAACAGAGUCAACUGUGCCGCUGAGGGGAGGGAGAAUGGAAGAGAACUGAUGAAAGGGGGAAAAUGAUCAGGUGUGAAAGGUUUAUGUUAGUAUCAUAGACUUCAAACAAAUCCAACCACAUAUGGGUGUGGGGACUUUAAAAUCAAAAAGGGGGUAAAUGUGGGGGACAAAAAUUGCUCAAAAAAAACUAGAGGGACCAAAAUUGCUCAAUUAGAAAACUUGGGGGACUAAAAUUGCAUUUAAGCCUAUUUUUUAUUACAUCAAGCGUAGUAAAUGAGAAUAUUACGCAAAUUGAAAUGUAAAAUGGACAAUACUGUGCACAUGGGUUGUAACAAAAUACACACAUUUCUUCAACAACAAAAAAAUUAAUUAACACAUGUUUUAUGCACACAAAAAAAAAUGAAGAAGAUACCGACCCUGAUGCAAGAAAGGAUCCUGUAGGACUCCAUGCACAAGCACAUACCUAAGUGGAUGGUAAACAGGCUCAUUAACAGAAGAGUUAACAGAAGAAACCAAAACACAAACAUGAAGCAUUGAUGAAAUACAUCACCUCUGACUUAUGCCCUUCCAAAAUUGUCACAUCUGACAUAAGAAAUUCACAUGGCUGAGAUGUUGAUGUUGUACAUAUGUCCAUGGGCUCUGGUCCUAUACAAUUGAAUGAAAACUUUUCAAUCAUCUUUUGAAGGAAGCAUAUCAACUGAAACAGACAACUAGUUUGCAUUUGUUGCAUAUUCUCACAUAGAGCAGGUGGGUACAUGGGUUCAAGUGGUGUAAAUAGUUGCAACUUGCAAGUAAAUUGGAGAUUUCAAUGACAUAUUCUCAAUAAAAAUAAAAUACUCAGGAUAUUGAAUAAUAAGGACAUACAGCUGAAAACACAUAAUAUGGAAGACAGCAUUUCUAAUCUUAAAUCUGACAGAAGUGGCCAGUAGUAAACUGCUCAUUCGAAAUUCGCCAGGGCAGCAAACAAGAUAACAGCUAUUAAUGAAUUUUACUGAUUAAAGAAACAAAUAUUUCAAGAGUAUGGUUGGAAGGAGAUGGAUAAAAGUCUAAUAAUGGAUGGGAAAAAAAUAUUUACUAGCUACCCAUAUCAUCAGGGAAUCAAUGUUAUACCCAUCACCAUCACUUUGUAUAGUACCCACUCUUCAUCGCCUAAUCACACAUGCAAGCAAUUAAUGUAAUUAUGAAUUUUGUAAGGAGUCAUAGCAAACAAACAGGAAUGCAUGAACAUGAAAUGAUAAAAACUAACAGAGGAAUAUAGAAUUGUAUGACAUUGAUACUUGGGGAGAACUAUUGAUGAAAAAUAAUGCAGCUAUACAACAUGAAAUGCCAAACAUGCAACAGAGAACACUUUUAUAGAAGACAAUGUAAACCAAAUCCAUUGAACAGGUGGUUACCUCCAAAUGCUCCAUCCUCCUCAUGCUUUACCUUAACCUUAUCUUCUUUUUUAGAAUCUUCUUUUUUAGUACCAUUAACCUUAUCUUCUUUUUUAGCACCAUUAACCUUAUCCUCUUGAUCUGAGACCAUUUCUCUACUUGUCUGAUUUUCAUUUUGCAGUUCUUGCUCUUUAUGAUUUUCUACCUUCUCUUUAUCCUUUUCACAUUCUUUCUCCCUUUCAUGUGUUUCCUUUUCUCUUGUCAGUCCACGGUCACCAUCAUGCUCUUUUUCAGAUUCCUUAUUUUUACCCUUCUGUAGUUUUCUUCUUCUUUCAUUAAUAAUUUUCUUAAGUUCAUGAACGUCUUUUGUGAUAAGAUCCAAAGGUUGUAAGAACGAAAAAUCUUCAUCAAAGUCUGCAUCACACUGAUAGGCCAACAUGAAACCCAGGUAUGAAAAGCUUAAAAAGACGACUCAAACAGAUGAACAUUGUGCUGAUAGAGAAUACAAGAAUACAAAAAGUAAAGAAUGCUAACAUUAUUCAAGUUAGCUUCCAUCUCCAAGAACUGUAGUCCCUUCUGAACAAAUGUAACAAGAGCCCCUGGUGGUACCAUAUUUCCAUCAAUGGGGCAUUUGUUAAUGCCACCCUCAUUCCCGAACACAAAAGCAGAAUGAGAGAAACCUGCAGUCAUAAAACCAGUAGCAUGUAAACCAGUUCAGUUGCUUUGCACGUUCAUGUUAUGGCCUUCUUAUAAAUAUGGAAAAUAUGUUUUCCUUUGUAGUAAAAAAAAAAAUACUAGUGUAAAAUCAACUUCAGGAAGCUUUUCUCACUCCACUGGAAGUUCCUAGUGACCUAGUCAAUAUGAUCCCUUUAACACAGCUUCAACAAUGGGUUGUUUUUCAUAGUUAUAGUUAUCUAUUCACAAUUCACACAAUCAUUCCGUAAAUUCAAGCUUACAGAUGAGAAAUUGUAAUCAGCAUUUAUUUUGUUAAAAAUAUUUACAAACAGUAAUAAAACAUAGGAUAAUUCUUCUAGUGGGUUCUACUUAACAGAUUCCAAGGUUAUAAAUAAGUCAAGGAUGAAAAAAACUUCUACUCUGCAGAUCAGAUGAGCGCCAUUUCAUUCGUUGCCUCAAACUCCAUAGCUCAAAGUUUAAUGGUUUAUGAUAGACCAUUAUGGCGUAAUUUGAUCUAUGUAGCCGACCCUACUUAGUGGGAUAAGGCUUGAUUGUUGUUGUUGGAGUAGCCAAAACUAACCGGGAAAUAGCUUCGCCUCUGACUAAAACACAACACAAAGAACCCUAGGUAGCAGUAACAUGCUGUGACGCAGCAAACCUAGCUAUUGACUAUAUAAUAUGUACUAUAAUUUUGGUAUAUCAUAUGCAUUAAUAAUUAAUAAUUUAAUACAUCUCACUAUCUCAGUAUAUAUAAAGUUAAAAGCAUUCAAUAAACAUUAUCAUAUAUAAAAUUAGAGUGAUUGCAUUCACCUAAGUUACAUUAUACCCCAAAUAUAGCAGAAAAUAUUGAUGACAUUUGAAAUUUAAAAAUUUAAAUAAAAAGACUAGUGAACAAUGAUGAGUAUUUUCCUUCAAAAAAAAAAAAACAAUGAUGAGUAUUUAUAAGAAAGAUCGUACAAAUGAAAAAUGAUACACAGUACAUGUUAACUUCUUUAUUCAUUUAGACAACAAGUUACAUAGAUCUGCAAAUAUUUAAGCUAAAAAUUUCUUAUAUGAUUAGUUUAACGUGACAAUACUUCUCUCUCUCCUCCAAAACGAGCCAAAGUUUCACAACAUACAACAUAUUAGGUCAAUCUAAACUUGGCAGCAAACCAAAUUGAACUAAUGACUUCUGACUUCAUCAUUGAAAUCAAUUAACGAACUGAAUGUAUAUUAUUAUAUGAUCAUAAUUUAAAACACAAUAAUGUUUGGUACACUAAGGUUUUUUUUUCUUCAGGGAAAGGACUUUGUAAUUUGAAGUUCGGUGGAGAGGUAACUAAAGUCUUAGCCAAAAAUUCUUCCACCCAGAAAUCGAACUCAGGUUCUCCUGAACAACUCAUCCUUAGUGGAGCUCAUUACCACUUGAACCCAGUUGCUUGGUUGUACACAUCAACCACUAGUCCCAGUCUGAAUUUUGACCAAUUAUUAUUACGUACCAAAUAGCUAUGAAGCACAUAUACUCCUCCGAAUACCGACAAAUAUGAAUACAUUGAAUUAAGCCAUUUUCUCAAAUGAUUAUCGGCGGUUGACGUGUCUGGUGUCUGUGUAUAUGCUUCAUAGCUAAAAAGUAAACCUCAUAACUAGAAAUUAAAGUCCAAUUUCACUUCAAAACUAUAAAAAUUCAAGUAGCAACCGCAAAGAUAAAUUUUCAGCAACAGAUCUAACAGUAUUAAACUACAAUCGGGAGUUAGAAAUUCCUGUAAGUUUAUGAACAGUAACUAAACCCUGAUCUGGUAGCAACAACACUAUAAGCGGUGGUUGAAAGCAAUUGAAAACACUGAAUAUUCGAAAUUCGAAUAAAGUCUAAGCCCUUGACAUUUGGUUGACUGAAAAAGACCAAAGAAGAACGAAAUUGAAGAUGAAACAAAAGAGAAGGAAGUAACCUGAUUCUUGAAGGUAACGAAAUACGAGAUAGUUGAGUUCGACGGAAGUGAUUGAAGCCAUGUUGCAUGAGUAUGUGUGUGUAGAGAGAGAGAGAGAGAGAGAGAGAGAGAGAGAGUACUGUUUGUGUCAACGCGGCAGAAGACACUGGUGCGAAAAAAAGGCAGUAAGCGGCAAGUUCUAUCUAAUUCGCGGAAGAGGACACUGUCUAGCCUUCAUAGUUCAUACAUCACCCUUCAUUUGGUUCAACAUAGGGGGAGAAAUGGGAGAUAUUUUAAUUAAAUAAAUAUUUGGGUUUUUUUUUUUUUUUUACAAAAUUGAUCAAACCAAAAAACAAAGCAAACUACUUCUAAGAAAGAAAGUUUCGGUGGCGUCGUUUUUUAGAAGAUCGAGAAACCAUCCGAAGGAGUAGGAUGGUUAAAUAUAUCGACAUCUGAAGAGACUCCUAAUUUCAUCAUGAAAUUCGAACAUUAGUUUCUCUCUUUAAGGGUGUGGCAAACAGUGAUAUUGCUUUGAAAUAUAAUAUUUUAAUGUUUUGGAUUAAAACGGAAUAGACAUGGAAAGUCAUGGAUAGACCUUGAAUGAGGUUGAUGCAAGUAAGAGAAUUAGAAUGGCAGGUCAACUCAUGAAUACCCAUAUUUUUUUGCCAAAAUUAGCUCAUGAUAUAUAGAAAUUAACUCGACAAGUAAAAUGUAUGUUGAACCUGGAACGAAACUGGAUACACCAGACAAGAAGAAAUCGGCUCUAAUAGACGUCUCGAGGCAACUAUCGCCCACAUUGAGGAUGAUGCCCAAAUAGUUGUUGUUUCGUUUAACGGUACGAUCAACUAUAGCAUCGAUAGAAUUGGAAGAUAACUAGUCUUGAGAGCUUCAACCAUGCUAUGAAUGUUGAAGGAAAGGGUUUUAAAGACCAAGUUUCGUUGUUCAGACACAUCAAGUUUUUACGUAUCCAAACCCACCGAACACCAGCUGAGAAACUAGAAGCUUGUGAGCUUAAUGACCCUUCUUUGAGUCAAUUGUGAACGGACGUAAUGGUGAAAAAAUCAUUGUUGGUGAACCCAAAGUGGUACCAAAUGAUUCUUGAAAAAUUGUAAUUUUAACGUAAUGGAGAAGAGUUUCCUCCUAGAGCCCACAACGUGAACAACCGAUGAGGGAGCUAUGCUUCUAUGGUUGAGCAAAGAAAGGGUCGGAACAAUAUUGUGAAAGGUAGGAGUGGGAAUAGGUCAGACCACCCGUCAGGGAUCUAUGCCGCGACCUACUUAAAGUUCUACUCAGCCUAACUCGUUUAUUAAAUAUGUUAGGUUCAGACUUGUUAAAAAGCUCAUUAAUUUAAAUAAGUCAGGCUAUGGCUUAUAAAAAAAACCUACUAGGCCUACCAGGCUGACUCAUAUAUAUGUAAUUAUAUAUAUUUCAUUAUAUUGAUAAAUUUUUUGUUCUUUCAAAUUUUCAACACCAUGAUUUAUUUAUUUUUUUACAAUUUGGGAUUUCCAAUGAGUUAACAAACUCUUGGUAUUACACUCUUAUUUAAAUUUCAAGGAGUACAUAUAUUUUUAGGGUAUUACCCUCUUAAUCUAUUAUUAUUGUCAUUCUCAUCUUAUUUCAAAUGACAAUCCACAAAACCCUGUUAGCAACAAAAAUAAAAGGUAAUAAGUCAAAUCUAUGCAAUACAAGCUUAUUUACCUCUACAAAAUGGAUGUGAAAUCUCUACAAAUUUUUAUUGGAUAUACAUGCCAUAUAUGCUUAUAAAGUGGAAAAAUUUGGAUGUACAAACUUUACAAAAUUUUAUUGACCUACCAGCCUCUUAAGAAAUAUAUGCUUUUCAACCUUUUUUUUUAUAAAUAAGUCAAAUGUUUUAUUAAAUUUUUUUAGGACAAAUUAGGCUUUUAGACAUGAUAAUAGAUGAGGUCGGGUUUUCAAAAAGGUCAUACCAAACUUAAAAUAAAGUCUUUGACAAGCUAAUAGAUCAAGCUUAGGCUUUAUUUUUUUCAACUAGGCCUGACCUAUUUAAGCAAAGUUCAGCUUGGCCCAACGUAUUCCCACCCCUAGUGAUAGUCAAGCCGAAAAAGAAAAUUGAACUUCUCUAGAGCUUUUUAAUGUCCAGUUCAAAGACCAAGUAUGUAAAAGGGUGGGGAGAUUAACCUAAUAUGUGAGAAAAAGAAGCUAGACAUAACCACUCUUAGUAGUGUAUACGUCGCUCUUAUUAUUUAAUCAAAUGAAAGCAUUUUCUAUGAAUCAUCAUUAAACUUGGUGUGGGUGUUGUUGACAACAUCUAAAGCCAUAAGAGAUAAAUGCAAGUAAAGAAUCUGGGUAUGAGGAUCAUUACUGUUAAACACAUUUGUGAUCGUUAGAUGUAAAUCAUGAAUAUGGAUAUAAGGGACCAAUUUUCCAAUGAAACUAAGAGCACUCAGGGGACUAAAAGUAUGAGUAGCCAGAUCCUGCACGCCAUGUAUAGACGUCUUAGAGAAUAGAUUUAGCACGAAUGAUGGAAGACCAAGUAGAAGACCCACUGGAUUGAUCACAAAUAUGAAGGAUUUUGGGGGAGGAUACAUGACGAUUUGAGAGAAAAUUCACCCAAAGUUUGUUUGAGGAUUGGAGUAUGUCCAGACAAGUUUUUCAAGAAGACAAAUAUUUGCAUCUUUGGCCGAUCUCAUUCCUAAACCACCAAGAUGAUUGGGACAAAAAAAAUUCUUCCAACUCACAAGCGAAUACCUCUUUUGUUAGAACCUCUCCAAAUAAAAUUGCGAAUAGUUUGAUCAAUACUAUCACAAAUGCUUCGCGGGAGCCAGGGUAUCUAUAUAUAAUAAGUUGGAAUGGAGGAUAACACAUAAGAAGCAAAAGCUAAUAUACAUGGUUUGCUGUGAAGCCUAUUCUUCAAAGAAGCAAGUUGAGAUUACAUUUUCUCAAUGAUAAAAAGAAAAUCACUUCUUUUGGCCGGUCCCUUUAGUACUAGGAAUCCCAAAUAUUUAUCAAGAGAGGUAGUGCUUCUUGUCUUGUCUUAUGGGGUAGUGCUUCUAGUUAAAGAAGUGACCCUAUUGAUCUUGUCUUUAGGGGUACCCGUAGAGUAAAAAACUCUGGACUUUGAUAAACUAAUCUUCAAUCCUGAAGCACGACUGAAACAAUCAAACAAAUCACUGAUGAAUCUAAACUGAGAAUUUAUAGCCUUAGUAAAAAGAAGGACGUCAUCCACAAAUAGGAGGUGGGACAACUGAGGGUCGGCGUUGGAUAUAUGGAUGAGGUCCCAAGUCCGUUGAAGAACGACAUUGUUGAUGGCAAGGGAGAGCUUUUCCAUAUAGAUGAUGAAGAGGUAGGGCAAAGCGGAUCACCUUGUCUCAGACCAUGAGUAGGCUUGAACUGAAGCAUCUCGUUCCCAUUGUAGAGGAUAGAGAAAGUGGAGAAGGUAACACAAUGCAUGAUUAACCUGAUGGUGUUGUUCGAGAAGCCAAAAUUCUGAAAGCAAAGGAAGGAAUAGAAGAGAUUUUAAUUAAAAAUAUGUUUGGUUCACAACGGAAUGGAAGGGAAAUUUUAAAGUUAAUGUAAAUUUUGACCCUUAUAAUUUGAUUUAUCACCUCAUAAAAAUUAAAUUAAUACAAACACUAAUUAUACGUUCUUUCCCCCUCCCUGCUAGGUUGAAUUUUUUUUCCUCCAUAGUUUUUGAGUCUCUGUAGCUGGUUGUUUUCAUUUUGGCUUUGCAUAAUUGGUUUUGUUUCGGUUUGUAUUUAAAUGUAAUGAACAAAAAUACAUACCUUUAAAUUGCAUGUCUCUGCAUGUAUUUUAUCCUGUUUGGAUAACCGCGUUUGUUUUUUUAAGCAAAAAUUGUCAAAGACGAUUAAAGGGAAAAUUGUGUAACUUCCUUCAUUAGUGAUUAUCAUAUUUGGUAAGUGAUGUUGACCACUUGGGUGGUGUUAUAAUAAGCCAUAUAGCAGGCCAUCCGUGCGCUUCUUGCUUAGCAGCUUCGUAAUUAUAAGCAAUUUCGAAAGAGACGUUGUGUACAAAAUUCAAAACAGGAGCAUGGAAAUAAUCUGCCGAAUGAGCUUGUAAUAAGUUCAACUUUAUGGUUUCUACUUUCUAUAUUUUUGUUCUCUAGAGCUUCUUUUUCUGCCGAAUGAGCUUGUAAAAAGCUACUCCCUCCGAUCAAAGAUCUUUGUGUUAGAGAAAGAGGGAAGAAGAAGGAAAAAAAAAGUGUAUAUGCAUACCUGGGGUCGGGCACGGCCGUGCCAGCUGGUGGCACGGACCGUGCCAAGUUUCUGGAGUUUGGAGGGUUUUCGCUUGGCAAGGUCUGGCACAGGUCGUGCCAGUGGGAGCACGGGCCGUGCCAAGGUUCUGGAGUGGCUUCAAAAAUUUUCAUUUUCUUGAAUCAUGCUUGGACAAUUACCUACAAAAUAACUCUCCAAACCAACUUUUUAGGUACAUUUAAUAACUAAUGUAUCUAACAUAUAAAUGUGACCGGAUAUAUCAAUUAUUCAAUGAACCUAAAAAUGUGUUUUUUGCUUAUAAAUGUGACCGGAGGGAGUACUUAUUUUGUAUAAGAGCUUCUUCUAAAAUAUGUAUAGCCCUAGAAGUUAAUUAAGUCAGGACAAACACUAUCUUUUUUUUUUGGUCGAGGACAAACACUAUCUAAACUGUAUAAAAAUAAAAUAGGCUACUAAUGCCUUGUGUUAAGCUAGCCCAGUAAUGCUCUCCCACAAAAGACUGCAGAUACCUACCAGAUAGUUACCCAACGAGAACAUACCUUGGAGCUAUCUGGCAGCAGACCGAGAAUGCAAUAUGAUGACGAUUAUACAGACGGCUGUGCAAUAAUUACAGUUUGAAGUUAAAAGAAUACACUCCCUACUACUUGCUAAUGAUUAUGCCAUAAACUUACGACAGAGUUACAACAAUGGUUAAAACUUAAAGGAAAAUGCUAACUAGUGCCGGCCCCUGGGGCACUACCGAACCAAAAUACAGUUCUAUCAAUAUCAUGGACAGUAAAAGUAAUUAAUUUGAGCAACUAGCCAAAGUAAGGUGGCUCUUCUCAGGAUCUUACAUUCUGAAAUCCAAAAUGCAAACUGUAUUAUUAGAAAAACAGGCAGCGAUCUUGUCACCCUCCUUGUUCCAACAGACCUCAAAAAUACCUCCAUUGCCUUUGUAUGUUUUAAUGAUCUUGCCAUCAU
rnacentral:lncRNA from 1 species